AGCGAACGCUGGCGGCAGGCUUAACACAUGCAAGUCGAACGCAUCCUUCGGGGUGAGUGGCAGACGGGUGAGUAACACGUGGGAACGUACCCUUCGAUCUGGGAUAACUUCGGGAAACUGGAGCUAAUACCGGAUACGCCCUUUUGGGGAAAGGUUUACUGUCGAAGGAUCGGCCCGCGUCUGAUUAGCUAGUUGGUGGGGUAACAGCCUACCAAGGCGACGAUCAGUAGCUGGUCUGAGAGGAUGAUCAGCCACACUGGGACUGAGACACGGCCCAGACUCCUACGGGAGGCAGCAGUGGGGAAUAUUGGACAAUGGGCGCAAGCCUGAUCCAGCCAUGCCGCGUGAGUGAUGAAGGCCUUAGGGUUGUAAAGCUCUUUUGUCCGGGACGAUAAUGACGGUACCGGAAGAAUAAGCCCCGGCUAACUUCGUG
rnacentral:rRNA from 1 species